UAAGACGAACCGUGCGAACGUUGUUCGGAAUCACUGGGCUUAAAGGGUGCGUAGGCGGGCUCGUCAGUCGGGGGUGAAAUCCCACGGCCCAACCGUGGAAGUGCCUCCGAUACUGCGAGUCUAGAGGGGAACAGGGGCAUGCGGAACUUCCGGUGGAGCGGUGAAAUGCGUAGAUAUCGGAAGGAACACCGGUGGCGAAAGCGGCGUGCUGGAUUCCUACUGACGCUGAGGCACGAAAGCCAGGGGAGCAAACGGGAUUAGAUACCCCGGUAGUCCUGGCCCUAAACGAUGGGUACUAGGUAGUGGACUGACAUGGGUUCACUGCCGAAGCAAAAGUGAUAAGUACCCCGCCUGGGGAGUAUGGUCGCAAGGCUG
rnacentral:rRNA from 1 species